GAUGAGCUUACCCUAGAAGGUAUCAAGCAAUUUCAUGUUAAUGUUGAAAAGGAGGAAUGGAAGCUUGAGACACUAUGCGAUCUGUACGAGACUUUGGCAAUCACCCAAAGUGUCAUCUUUGUGAACACCCGGCGUAAGGUAGAUUGGCUGACAGAUAAGAUGCGUAGUCGUGAUCAUACCGUGUCUGCCACCCACGGUGACAUGGACCAAAACACUAGGGACAUCAUCAUGCGUGAAUUCCGG
rnacentral:lncRNA from 1 species